CACACAUACAUUCAAGCUUGUGGAGGAGAGUGACAGAAUGUUCUGCGGGUCUAGAAACUUCCAAGGCCGGUCCAAAAGUACAUGCAUAUACUUAGCUGGCGAAAGAAAAAAAGAAAGGAAGGAAGGAAGGAAGGAAAGGAGGGAAAGAAAAGAAAGGAAAAGAAAAAAGAAAAGAGACUUUGACAAAGAAAGGCAUUUCCCUGGGAAUAUUCUACCUCUGGGAGGACAGUGGUCAGGCAUUUCUUCUAUCUUGCUAUUCCUUGAGCACAGUCCUGCCAAAUAUCCUCCUUUCACCAUUUGCAGUUACCAUGAGAAAACCACAGAGAAAGCUCUGGACAGCCAUGGAGUCUUAGCUGGAUCUACAAUAAACGGAGUCAGGUACCCUCCCACCUUCCCAGAAAGACUGUGCUGGGGCUCAGAAAACAACACCCCAAAAUGAAGCCCUCAGCAGCAGCCUCAGAAGCAAAUGAUUUUCUCUGACCUUCUCUUGCCCUCCUGUCUCUUAGUCCCAUUCUCCUCGGAGGCUAGCCAUAGAAACCAGAAGCCUUUUCCAAAGCCAGCCAUAAAACCUUAAAAUAUUAGUUUAACUUUCCCUCCACCCUAUCUGUAUAAAAACUGGCCAUAUGGGCUGGGCACUUUGGCUCAUGCCUGUGAUCUCAGCACUUUGGGAGGCCAAGGCGGGAGGAUCACUUGAGGUCAGGAGUUCAAGACCAGCCUGGCCAACAUGGUGAAACCCCAUCUCUACUAAAAAUACAAAAAUUAGCCAGGCGUUGUGGCUCACGCCUGUAGUCCCAGCUACUGAAGAGUUUGAGGCAGGAGAAUUGCUUCAGCCCGGGAGGCGGAGGUUGCAGUGAGCUGAGAUCGUACCACUGCACUCCAGGCUGGGCAAUAGAGCAAGGCUCUGUUUCAAAUAAAUAAAUAAUAAAAAUUAAAACUGGCCAUAAAUAAAUUAUCUGACCUACCCUGUUUGAUAGUAGGUCAUAAGACCCCCAUUCCAGAGAGGGUCCUGCCCCACAC
rnacentral:lncRNA from 1 species